rnacentral:rRNA from 1 species
AUGAGGGCUCAUAAUGACACCUAGUUUGCGGAUUACUUUCUAAGGGUAGGCAAUGGCACCGAGGAAGUUGACGAUCAAGGAAACAUACGACUCCCUGAAGAUAUUUGUGUGCCAUCUACAAGCGAGGGUGACGACCAAGAGAAGCUGAUUGACCAUGUGUUUCUGAGACUAGAUGACAACAUGUCCGAUCCGAAUAUGACUUCGCGUGUAAUCCUCUCCACCACGAACGACAACGUCGACAAGAUAAAAAUACGCAUGGUAGAGCAUUUUCGGGGAGAAGAAGUAAUAUACCAUAGCUUUGACAGUGCAGAAGAUGACCCAUAUGGCUACUAUGCUCCCGAGUUCCUGAAUGGAUUGACUCCCAAUGGUCUGCCUCCGCAUGCACUCAAACUGAAGCUCAACUGCCAUGUCAUACUUAUGAGGAACAUUGAUCCGGCUAAUGGUCUGUGUAACGGGACGAGGCUUGUGGUAUGAGGUUUUGAGAGCAACGCCAUCAACGCAGAAAUCAUGAUCGGACAACAUGCAGGUAGGAGGGUAUUCCUUCCUCGAAUAUGCCCAUCUCACAAUGACAUGUUUCCAUUCAAGUUCAAGAGGAAGCAAUUUCCUGUAAGGCUUAGCUUUGCUAUGACGAUUAACAAGGCUCAAGGACAG